GCUGAAGCUCUGAUUGGCCAGGCUGGAUCACAUGCUCAAUUGUGGGUUCAGGGAUUAUGUCACCUGAAACACUAGGCUGGAAGAGGGAGAGAAGGGACCCUCACAGGAGAUCCAGGGUGCUAUUAGCAGAAGGGGCAAUGCUGGGCACUGGUCUCCUCAUCGCUGACCCUUUGUGACUUGAUGGACACGAUGCCUUCAGUCUUGAAGACCACAACUGGCAGCACUCCAAGGUAUUAUGGGCACAAAUGCCUGCCCAGACAAAUAAAAUGAGAGCUGAACUACCUUCUUCUAACCCAGCCCAGACAGGCGGGCUCUGCAGGACUGUGCCAAACUCUGCGGGGAGACCAGAGCAUCUCCAGCCCCAGGCUGGGGGUCCAUUUCAAAACCUUGACGCCCAAAGCAGUUAUGGCUGAAGAAGGAAUUUGCAAAUGAGUCUCCAGGGGUCCAGGGAAAGUGUCCAGCAAAGGCUGAAAUCCACUGGUAGGUAUGCCUUGUUCAGCUGGGGGCAGCCAAAGCCUUGCCUUGCCUUGCUUGUAAGAAAGAGAAUUUUCAUUUUAUUCACACCAUCCCUGAAAAAGGAAAAGAACGAAGCUCCCAUGGACUCCUUUGAUGCGGCCAGCAUCUGUUUGGUAGGAAAGUGGACAAAGUGAUAUGCCUUCAAGUUAGGAAUCCUUAACUCUGGACUGUGUGUAAAAUUCCACACGAGAUGUUCUCUGUUCCUGGACCCACCCGAAUGCUCUCAGCUGGAACAGAAAACCAACUGAAAAGCCCCUAAAGAAUGAGGGAUUAAUUAUCUCUUAUCCAAGCACUGUAAAAGCCGGCUGGUUGUGGGCAGAUCCAUCUGUGUGGCUUAAUGAAGAUUUCUUGGGACUACACAGCCUCCUCCAAGUUCCAGGCAGCCCAUCCUCAUGUGUCAGCAUCUAAAAUCCUCCAAAUAGCAGAACCUCCACAAGAUCCUGAGAUGGACCCCGGGGGAUGGCUUCCAUCUUUCCUGAAUGCCAGCAUACCCGCCUCUGCAGCCAAGAAGAGCGAGGCCAGGCCCAGGGCCCCAUCCAAACACAGAGGGCUGUCCUGCUGGUUCACCCUGGUCUGCCCAGAGACAGGUAGAAGUGGAGCAAGAGGAGAGUUGCAUUCAUGUAGAACAGCAGACAAUGUUUUGAUGAGCCACCCUUGUCCAGAAGCCCAAUGAGGAUGAAGGCCAUGUCCAUGAGGGGACUUCCCUGGUGGUCCAACGGUUAAGAAUCUGCUUGCCAGCGCAGAGGACACUGGUUUGAUCCCUGGUCCAGGAAGAUGCCACACACCGUAGGGCAACUAACCCCAUGCGCCACAACUGCUGAAACCCGUGCACCCUAGAACCCAUGUUCUGCAACAAGAGAAGCCACCGCAGUGAGAAGCCCGCACACCUCAACAAAGAGUAGCCCCUGCUUGCCGCAACUAGAGAAAAGCCUGAGCACAGCAGUGAAGACCCAGAACUGCCAAAAAUAAAUAAUUAAACAUUUUAAAACAAAAAGUCCACAAGACUUUUAUCAUGUUUACUCCCAGCACAGAGAGCGAUGUG
ensembl:lincRNA